UGGCUCUCGCAUCGAUGAAGAACGCAGCGAAAUGCGAUAAGUAAUGUGAAUUGCAGAAUUCAGUGAAUCAUCGAAUCUUUGAACGCACCUUGCGCCCUCUGGUAUUCCGGAGGGCAUGCCUGUUUGAGUGUCAUGUAGACUCAAUCCCUCGGGUUUCCGAGGAGAUUGGACUUGGGUGUUGCCGCUUCUGCCGGCUCACCUUAAAAGACUUAGCGGGAUAGCACCGUAGUCGGCGUAAUAAGUUUCGUCGGUGAAGGUUGUGAUGACUGCUUACAAUCGCCCUCGGGCAAUUUUUGACUCUGACCUCAAAUCAGGUAGGACUACCCGCUGAACUUAAGCAUAUCAAUAAGCGGAGGAAAAGAAACUAACAAGGAUUCCCUUAGUAGCGGCGAGCGAAGCGGGAAGAGCUCAAAUUUGAAAGCUGGCGUCCUUCGGGCGUCCGCAUUGUAAUCUAUAGAGGCGUUUUCUGUGCUGGACCGUGUCCAAGUCCCUUGGAACAGGGUAUCAAAGAGGGUGACAAUCCCGUACUUGACACGACAACCAGUGCUCUGUGAUACGUCUUCUACGAGUCGAGUUGUUUGGGAAUGCAGCUCAAAAUGGGU
rnacentral:rRNA from 1 species